CCGGCUGUGAUGGUAGCUUUCCCACUCCCUUUCCUCUAACCAUUACAACGGUCAUUAUGGCCAAACUGUUCUAUUUUUGUUACACCAGACCAGAGGACAUUUCUCCAAAAAGUAUGAUCUUUCUCCCCAUGUGCAGUUGCAAAUCGUAGUCUGGCUUUUUUAUGGCGGUUUUGGAGCAGUGGCUUCUUCCUUGCUGAGAGGCCUUUCAGGUUAUGUUGAUAUAGGACUCGUUUUACUGUGGAUAUAGAUACUUUUGUAUCUGUUUCCUCCAGCAGCUUCACAGGGUUAUUUGCUAUUUUUCUGGGAUUGUGAUACAGUGAAUUAUAAGUGAAAUAAUCUGUCUGUAAACAAUUUUUGGAAAUAUAACUUGUGUCAUGCACGGAGUAGAUGUCCGAACCGGCUUGCCAAAACUGUAGUUUGUUAACAAGAAAUGUGUGGAGUUUUUGAAAAACGAGUUUGAAUGACUCCAACCUAGUUUUCCCAUGAUCAAAUACCAUUACCCAUGUCCUAAUCCAGCAUCCAUGCUCUACUCAGUUUCUCUCUCAGACUAUGUCAUGCAGCCCCCUCUCUCCCCUCCCAGACUAUCAGUCAUGCAGCACCCCCCACCCCCUCUUUCCACCCAGUUUCUCUUCCAGACUAUCAGUCAUACAGCCCCCUCUCUCCCUAGUCUCAUCCACUCCAGUCUCUCCUUCCAUGACUCUCACUAUCUCUCUCUCUCCAUGCUCAGUGACCCCCACCGCACCAACAGCAACCCUGCUCCAGGGUCCCAGUGAGCUCGUCUGCCUGGUGCUUGGCUUCAGCCCUUCAGACAUCAACAUCACCUGGCUGCUGGACAAUGUCACAGAGCUGUGGAACAACAACACUAGCACCCCCUACAGGGCACCAGGAGGAAUGUUCGGCAUCAGGAGCCACCUGAGCCUGGCACACCAGGAUUUGACACCGGGGGCUGUUUACACCUGCAGGGUGACCCACACCACCCAGACUCUGGCCCUGAACAUAUCCAAACCAGAGCUCCUUGAGGUGGAGGGUGUCUUCUUUGACGAGAACAGGUCUGAUCCCAUUCUGACGGACACUGCAGAGGAGAACUGGAACAUGGCCUGCAUCUUCCUGGUCCUCUUCCUCAUCUCCCUCCUCUACAGCUUCACAGUCACUCUGGUCAAGACAAAAUGAUGACUUCAGGACACUUCCUGAUGACUUCAGGACACUUCCUGAUGACUUCAGGACACUUCAGGAUCCAUAUGAUGGAUCUCUAGGAGUACAACUGGAAAUGAAACCAUUUAUUCCAACCUUUUCUUAUAAAAUCACAACACGUUUCAUUAGAAAAUUGCAUAGAUUUAAUUACUUACGGUUUCCUGUAGCUGGUGACAGGGAAGUGACAGGGAAGUGACAGGGAAGUGACAGGGAAGUGUUUGAUGACAGGGAAGUGUUUGAUGACAGGGAAGUGUUUGAUGACAGGGAAGUGACAAGGAAGUGUUUGAUGACAGGGAAGUGUUUGAUGACAGGGAAGUGUUUGAUGACAGGGAAGUGUUUGAUGACAGGGAAGUGUUUGAUGACAGGGAAGUGUUUGAUGACAGGGAAGUGUUGUUUGACAGGGAAGUGUUUGACAGGGAAGUGUUCUUGUUUUUAUUCCCCACAAAAACAGACAAUGUGGUGGUGCUUACUUGCUCUCAUCUCUUGUUAAUGCGUUAUAGAAUUUUUGAGCAGAGAUUUUUUUUAAAUGGAUGUUUAACCUCUAUUAAAUAAGGCCGACCAUUACUCUCUAUAAUGAAGUAUUUAGACACCAGUUAUUGCUGAAUUAUCUGCUGAUAAUAAAACAUUAUUUCAAACAACCUA